UUGUGUCAUUCUUCAAAGUGGUUGUGAAAUGUUUGCCUUUUUAUGCCUACUCAUAUCACAGCCAGCUUUGAGGAGCGACACGA
rnacentral:pre_miRNA from 1 species